rnacentral:rRNA from 1 species
AGCAGCCGCGGUAAUUCCAGCUCCAAUAGCGUAUAUUAAAGUUGUUGCAGUUAAAAAGCUCGUAGUUGAAUUUCGGGGUUAGUACGCUGGUCAUGCCUUCGGUAUGUACUGGUGUUACCGAUUCCUACCUUCUGAAGAACCGUCAUGUCAUUAAUUUGGUGUGGCGGGGAAUCAGGACUGUUACUUUGAAAAAAUUAGAGUGUUUAAAGCAGGCUCGCGCUUGAAUACAUUAGCAUGGAAUAAUGAAAUAGGACGUUCGAUCCUAUUUUGUUGGUUUCUAGGAUUGACGUAAUGAUUAAUAGGGAUAGUUGGGGGCAUUAGUAUUCAAUUGUCAGAGGUGAAAUUCUUGGAUUUAUUGGAGACUAACUACUGCGAAAGCAUUUGCCAAGGAUGUUUUCAUUAAUCAAGAACGAAAGUUAGGGGAUCGAAGACGAUCAGAUACCGUCGUAG